rnacentral:rRNA from 1 species
UACGUAGGGGGCUAGCGUUGUCCGGAUUUAUUGGGCGUAAAGAGCGUGUAGGCGGCCAGGUAGGUCUGCUGUGAAAACUCGAGGCUCAACCUCGAGACGUCGGCGGAAACCAUCUGGCUAGAGUCCGGAAGAGGAGAGUGGAAUUCCUGGUGUAGCGGUGAAAUGCGUAGAUAUCAGGAGGAACACCAACGGCGAAGGCAGCUCUCUGGGACGUUACUGACGCUGAGACGCGAAAGCGUGGGGAGCAAACAGG